rnacentral:lncRNA from 1 species
CAUUCAGAGUGACUUGGUAAAAUUACAUCAGACUAGGGUUCAGGAUCUUGACUUCGCACCCAUUUCAGAUUACCAACUCAAUUUUUCAUAUAGAUGAAGCCUACAAUGGCAUCCACGACAAACAACCUUAAUUCGAAGAUUUUUCUCCUCAAUGAAUGGUUAAAAUUCGGUCCAAUAGCCUAAAGAAUCAAAUCUAAUAAUCUAUAAAUUUUGACUACCAGACUACGGCUAAACUUCCUAAUAAAAAAAAGAAUAAAGAAGACUCUAAAGUGAGGAACAUUUUUGGAUGGGAGAACUUUCAUAAUAAAAGCUAUUUCUCUCUUUAUUCUUUUCUUAUCCUCUAGUAUUUUCGAGCUUCAAUUAAUUUAGGCAUCGAAGCGUCCCAGUCAGGAUACUCUUAAGGAGUGUGGACUUCUUUUAUAAGUCCCCUUCAGCAUCUUGAAUCCUGGACAGCAUUCACUCUAGCCACGUUAGCACUUGAUUGGAGUCUCACAGC